GACGUAGGGCGCGAGCGUUGUCCGGAUUUAUUGGGCGUAAAGAGCUCGUAGGCGGUUCGUCGCGUCGGCUGUGAAAACCUGAGGCUCAACCUCAGGCCUGCAGUCGAUACGGGCGGACUUGAGUACUGCAGGGGAGACUGGAAUUCCUGGUGUAGCGGUGAAAUGCGCAGAUAUCAGGAGGAACACCGGUGGCGAAGGCGGGUCUCUGGGCAGUAACUGACACUGAGAGACGAAAGCUAGGGGAGCAAAUGGG
rnacentral:rRNA from 1 species